UACAGAGGGUGCGAACGUUGCUCGGAAUUAUUGGGCGUAAAGGGCGCGUAGGCGGCCUUUCAAGUGACGGGUGAAAUCCCUCGGCUUAACCGAGGAACUGCCUGUCAGACUGGAAGGCUUGGGACCGGGAGAGGUGAGUGGAAUUCCCAGUGUAGCGGUGAAAUGCGUAGAUAUUGGGAGGAACACCAGUGGCGAAGGCGGCUCACUGGACCGGAACUGACGCUGAGGCGCGAAAGCGUGGGGAGCAAACAGU
rnacentral:rRNA from 1 species